rnacentral:sRNA from 1 species
GGCUCUCCGCGGCACGGGAUUUAGCGUUCGCGCUCCUUCCCUUCCCGUGGUGGAGCUGAGUCCUGACAUGGGGGCUGCAUCAAGAUCUUGUCAUUCCACAUCAUGGUUUCCUUUGAGGACGUGGCUGUACCCCUGUCCCAGGAGGAGUGGGACUGUCUGAUCCCUGCUCAGAGGGGCCUCUACAAGGAUGUGAUGAUGGAGACCUAUGGGAACCUAGUCUCACUAGUAGGUGAAUGGUUAAGCAAACUGUGGUACAUCCAUACCAUGGAAUACUACUCAACAAUCAAAAGGAACUGCCCAGACUUCACCACGAUGCAAUAUAUGCAUGUAAGAAAUCUGCACUUAUACCCCCUGAAUAUAUAAAACAUUUUUAAAAGAAAAAAAGGAAGAAACUUGAUACAUGCAACAACUUGGAUGGAUUUCAAGGGAGUUAUGCUGAAUGAAAAAAAGUCAACCUCAUAAGAUUACAUUCUGUAUUAUUCCAUUCAUACAACAUUCUUGAAAUGACAAAAUUACAGAGAUGGAGAACAGAACAGUGGUAGCCACAGGUUGGGGUGAGGGGAUAAGAAAGGGAUGUGGCUGUGGCUGUAAAAGGGCAGCACAAGGGAUCCAUGUGAUAGAACUCUUCUGUCUCUUGUGAUGGUGGUCACAUGAAUCUAUACAUGUGAUAAUACUGCAUAGAAUUAAAUACACAUACAUGAAAAGUUCAAGCAAUCGAGCACAAAUAUUUUAAUUGUCUAAAAUGACAUUUUCUUUAAGAGUUAUCUACAGUUUAAAGCUCACUUUUAUGAAGUGUCACAUCCAUCACCAUUUUAAGAGACAUAAAAUCAUGAAAAGAUAUCACCAGAAGCUACGUAAACAUUUCAGCUAAGGGUAAAGAGAAAGUUAAGGGUGUUUUCACAAGGAAAUUGAAAGAAGGCAAUCUGAAUGAACUCAACAUGGUCACACAAAAAUCUUGGUAAAAGAACUAGAAUAGAAGCCCAAACUGCUGAGCAAGUGGGAGAAGAAAAGAAGACUUGGUACAAACAGAUCACACAAGGGAACCCAGGACAAAUGCUGACUUUGGCAUUAUCUAAGUAACCCUUUUUUUUUUUGUCAUAGGUGACUCUGAUAAUAGACCUAUUGUUGCAAAACCAGUCAAAAUCCUACCAAAUUAAAAAGAAGUCCCUCA